rnacentral:rRNA from 1 species
GACGAACGCUGGCGGCGUGCCUAAUACAUGCAAGUCGAACGAGUGGCGGACGGGUGGGUAAUGUAUGGGGAUCUGCCCGAUAGGGGGUGGAAACUGCUGGAAACGCUGGCUAAUACCGCAUACUAUCAGAUGCACCCAUAUGGGAUUCGCUAGUAGGUGGGGUACAGGCUCACCUACCCGACGAUCUCUAGCUGGUCUGAGAGGAGGAUCAGCCACACUGGGACUGAGACACGGCCCAGACUCCUACGGGAGGCAGCAGUGGGGAAUAUUGCACAAUGGGCGCAAGCCUGAGGCAGCCAUGCCGCGUGUAUGAAGAAGGCCUUAGGGUUGUAAAGUACUUUCAGCGGGGAGGCGUUACCGGCAGAAGAAGCACCGGCUAACUCCGUGCCAGCAGCCGCGGUAAUAC